UGGCGACCGGCGCACGGGUGAGUAACACGUAUCCAACCUGCCUCAUACUCGGGGAUAGCCUUUCGAAAGAAAGAUUAAUAUCCGAUAGCAUAUAUUUCCCGCAUGGGUUUUAUAUUAAAGAAAUUCGGUAUGAGAUGGGGAUGCGUUCCAUUAGUUUGUUGGGGGGGUAACGGCCCACCAAGACUACGAUGGAUAGGGGUUCUGAGAGGAAGGUCCCCCCACAUUGGAACUGAGACACGGUCCAAACUCCUACGGGAGGCAGCAUG
rnacentral:rRNA from 1 species